CAACGAUCAUUCUCCUCAUUUCCCUCUUUCCUUAAAUCCGUUUUUCCCUCUCAUUCCCCUUUCUCUUCCCCAAUCUCUCAUUCUUUUCUCUCUCUUAAAAUCUGUUUUCCCGACACGCGCGUCCACUCCGCCCCAGCUCCGCCACCGCCACCGCCACCGCCGUCGCCGUCGCCGAUUGAAACCCCCUGAUUUCCAAAACCCCUGCCCCUGGGAUGUCUGAUUGCAAGAGUCAAGGAAAUGGGGGGAGGAAGACCCACCUAACAAUCAAGAGCAACCCUUCCUUGGUUUUCAAUCGCUCCAUGACGGCGUACACGCCGUCGUCAGCGGCGGCGGUGGCGGGGGAGGAGAACAGCAUGCCGCUGCGCAACUCCCUGUCGUACCAGCGCAACGGCUCCAUCAACACCCUCCGCAGCGGCAAAGCAUUGAAGGGGAAGGUGAGGAAGAUGUGUUCCAUCUUCGAGUCCCCAAAGCACCGCCCCUCCAUCAGCAUCGAUCCGCAGCAGCAGUCGCCGUCGUCGUCCCCGUCCCCGUCCCCGUCCCCCUCCCCAACCUCCAACAAGUCCUCCUUCUCGCCGCCGGACUCCCCUAACCUCUGGGAUUUCUCCCCCGUGCGGCUGCCGGGGACCGAGGACAGGGUGGUGAUCUACUUCACCAGCCUGCGGGGAAUCCGGCGGACGUUCCACGACUGCCAGAGCGUGCGGAUGCUGUUCAGAGGCUUCCGGGUGAACCUGGACGAGCGGGACGUGUCGAUGGACGUGGCCUACAAGAACGAAUUGCAGGAGCUGUUUGGGGAGGAAGAGAGCGUCAGCUUGCCGCAGGUGUUCAUCAAGGGGAAGCACAUUGGGGGAGCCGAGGUUGUGUUGAAUCUGCUCGAGGUUGGGGAGCUCGUCAGGAUGAUCAAGGGACUCCCUUUCCGAUCCCUCAAGCCCUGCGAUGUCUGCGAUGAUAUGAGGUUCAUCGCCUGCGUCAACUGCGGCGGCAGCCGCAAAGUCUAUGAUGAGGAGGAGGAGCACACCAACCGCUGCCCCGUCUGCAACGAAAACGGCCUCAUGCGUUGCCCUCUCUGCAGCUCCUGAACAUCUUCAUCACUUUCUAUUACUCCAACAUAUCCAUAUGUAGUAAUAGACUUGAUUGGUCAACUGUGUUCCUAUAAUUUUCCAUUAAUAUACAGCAAUUACAAGCUGACAUGACGCCUACUUGGACUGAAAAUUGACACAUGGAAAAUAAUAAACAAAAAAAAAAAAAUCAUCCCUUUCCCUCUCCCACCUCCAAGUUCGAUGGAACAUCGCCGUCGCCGCCGGAAUCGUGAC